AGCCUGAGAGAUACGUGGCUCAUUCUGCUAUGGCGGAUCUCCAAGUGGGAGGAGCCUGGCCACCUCUCUUGCUCAGAGAGGAGGUCAACCACACUAGCUGCACUUCGGGCUGUUUGGAACUAUGCCCUGCCAUCUCCUUGCCCUUCUCCUGGGAACUUUCUUAGGUGUCAUCGCUCAGACCAUCCAUCAAUGGCCAGCUACCAGGGUGCAGCUUGUGGGCAGCGCCCUCUCCCUGGAGUGCACUGUGAAGGGGGUAUCAAACCCCAGCCUAUACUGGUACAGGCAGGCCACCGGCGGGAGGGACCUUCAGCUGCUCUUCUACUCCACUGGCACUCACCAGAGAGAGCCUGAAAAGCUCCAGGACUUCAACGCCUCCAGGCCCCAGGAUGGACUGUUCAUCCUGAGUUCUAAGAAGCUCCUGCUCAGCAACUCUGGCUUCUACCUCUGCGCCUGGAGUCUCACACUGAGUCCGGUGGGGCAGACAUCUGUGCAAAAACCCCGCCCUCUCCCAAGUUCUCACCACCCUCUCCAGGAGCCCUCACUUAAGGACUGGCUAGAGGAUGUGUUUGUCAUUGAGUUUCUGACUGGCAGCCAAUGUGAGGGCAACUGAACCAGCCAGAUUCUCCAAAAGAACUUUGUGAAGUUCCCAGGAAGAACAACAACAACAAAAAGACGUAUGUGUGUUGAAGCUGUGAAUGGCAGAUACACAGUCAAUUUCACCAUAUGUGGAAGUCUAAUCUGAGGUUCUCAUACUCCAGCCCUCCGACUGUGCUAUUCCUUGCCUAACCCCCUAUUCUUUCACAUGCCUAUGGGUACCCUGGUGAUCGAGGUUGUGCAUUUGCCAAUGAGAAGGGCAGGAUGCCCCAACACCAGUUACUUAACUAGUUAAUUUUCAUCAUCUUUGCUCUUUCUGCAGAGACUGGACAACUUGUGAAAGCUUGGAUGAGGUUUCGAGCCAGGGAGGGGGGGCAAGGUGGAUGGUUAUCGUAGGGGCUACAAGUGUGGUUUUAUUAGCAUCAGAAACAUGCACUCAGGAAUGUUGAUUAUUGUUUGGGGGUUUCAAUUUUUUUUUUAAUGCCUGUUCUACUGUGUCUCAUUCCUUCCUUUAUAGCAACAGAGGGAGCAGAGAAGCAGAUGGUGAUCCAAGAGAUACAAGAGACAGGAUAAAGAGGGCAGGCAUAUGUAAUGGUAAAACCCUAAAAAGAGAAAUUACUUGGAUGGAAAUGUAGGUGAGGAAAAGGCUUAUGGGGAUGUCUGGGAAGAGACACUGUGGUUACCUUGGCAACUGAGCAUCCUUCCUCAUCUCCCACCCCCUGAGCCCUCCCUCCUCCUCCUCCUUAUUCCUCAAAAGAUUUUCUUUUUUAAUGUCCCUUCUGUUCCACGAGGGGGCACAAGAAGUCCUAAAAUACUCUGUUCCUGGCAUUAUUUCCUUUGGAACAAUUCAGCCAUUUGUUUCUUUCAGUAUCAUUAAUCUGCAGAGGAAAAUCUGAGACAGAGACACAAAGCAAUCAAGACAGUAUUGAAUAAGGCUCAAGAGUCCCUGUUGCACUUUAAGGUCAACUAUAUAUUAAGCAGUUACGUGCUGGGCAUUCUGAGCCGUCACAGGGAUUAAAAAGAAAAAUGAAGUACACUCAAGAUGGUGCCGGGCAUGGUCACAACAGGAAAUAGUCAAGGCCCUUGGAGCUUGGGAUUAGCAGAUAAAAACUACUAUAUAUAACAUAGAUCAGACUGUGAUGUAAAAUAAUA